UACGUAGGGCGCGAGCGUUGUCCGGAAUUAUUGGGCGUAAAGAGCUCGUAGGCGGCUUGUCACGUCGGGUGUGAAAGACCGGGGCUUAACUCCGGUUCUGCAUUCGAUACGGGCUAGCUAGAGUGUGGUAGGGGAGAUCGGAAUUCCUGGUGUAGCGGUGAAAUGCGCAGAUAUCAGGAGGAACACCGGUGGCGGAAGGCGGAUCUCUGGGCCAUUACUGACGCUGAGGAGCGAAAGCGUGGGGAGGCGAACAGGAU
rnacentral:rRNA from 1 species